GAUGAACGCUGGCGGCGUGCCUAAUACAUGCAAGUCGAGCGAACGGACGAGAAGCUUGCUUUUCUGAUGUUAGCGGCGGACGGGUGAGUAACACGUGGAUAACCUACCUAUAAGACUGGGAUAACUUCGGGAAACCGGAGCUAAUACCGGAUAAUAUUUUGAACCGCAUGGUUCAAAAGUGAAAGACGGUCUUGCUGUAACUUAUAGAUGGAUCCGCGCUGCAUUAGCUAGUUGGUAAGGUAACGGCUUACCAAGGCAACGAUGCAUAGCCGCCCUGAGAGGGUGAUCGGCCACCCUGGAACUGAGACACGGUCCAGACUCCUACGGGAGGCAGCAGUAGGGAAUCUUCCGCAAUGGGCGAAAGCCUGACGGAGCAACGCCGCGUGAGUGAUGAAGGUCUUCGGAUCGUAAAACUCUGUUAUUAGGGAAGAACAUAUGUGUAAGUAACUGUGCACAUCUUGACGGUACCUAAUCAGAAAGCCACGGCUAACUCCGUG
rnacentral:rRNA from 1 species